AUUGAACGCUGGCGGCAGGCCUAACACAUGCAAGUCGAACGAGUGGCGGACGGGUGAGUAAUGUCUGGGAAACUGCCUGAUGGAGGGGGAUAACUACUGGAAACGGUAGCUAAUACCGCAUACCAUCGGAUGUGCCCAGAUGGGAGUAGCUAGUUGGUGGGGUAAAGGCUCACCAAGGCGACGAUCCGUAGCUGGUCUGAGAGGAUGACCAGCCACACUGGAACUGAGACACGGUCCAGACUCCUACGGGAGGCAGCAGUGGGGAAUAUUGCACAAUGGGCGCAAGCCUGAUGCAGCCAUGCCGCGUGUAUGAAGAAGGCCUUCGGGUUGUAAAGUACUUUCAGCGGGGAGGCGGUACCUGCAGAAGAAGCACCGGCUAACUCCGUGCCAGCAGCCGCGGUAAUUC
rnacentral:rRNA from 1 species